AAUCCAGGCUGUUAUCUUUGGGGAUGGACCACUGUCUGGUGGAGUAUGACCUGGAAAAAAGUGAAGUGAAUCAGCUCGUCAUUCUGAGCUCAGAGCGACUUGAGCAAAGGGCCGUGCCUACAUGCAUGACAUGGUAUCCUCCCCUGUCAACGGAACAGUUUCUUCUUAUUGCCACAGAGCAGUACAAAAUAAAACUGUUCAACAGUACGACCAAGAUGUGUAGGAAGACCCUACUUGGCCCAACAUAUGGCUCC